GGGUUGUGAGGUUAAGCGACUAAGCGUACACGGUGGAUGCCCUGGCAGUCAGAGGCGAUGAAGGACGUGCUAAUCUGCGAAAAGCGUCGGUAAGGUGAUAUGAACCGUUAUAACCGGCGAUGUCCGAAUGGGGAAACCCAGUGUGAUUCGUCACACUAUCGUUAACUGAAUACAUAGGUUAACGAGGCGAACCGGGGGAACUGAAACAUCUAAGUACCCCGAGGAAAAGAAAUCAACCGAGAUUCCCCCAGUAGCGGCGAGCGAACGGGGAGCAGCCCAGAGUCUGAAUCAGCUUGUGUGUUAGUGGAACGGUCUGGAAAGUCCGACGGUACAGGGUGAUAGUCCCGUACACCAAAAUGCACAGGCUGUGAACUCGAAGAGUAGGGCGGGACACGUGGUAUCCUGUCUGAAUAUGGGGGGACCAUCCUCCAAGGCUAAAUACUCCUGACUGACCGAUAGUGAACCAGUACCGUGAGGGAAAGGCGAAAAGAACCCCGGCGAGGGGAGUGAAAAAGAACCUGAAACCGUGUACGUACAAGCAGUGGGAGCACCUUCGGGUGUGACUGCGUACCUUUUGUAUAAUGGGUCAGCGACUUAUAUUCUGUAGCAAGGUUAACCGUAUAGGGGAGCCGCAGGGAAACCGAGUCUUAACUGGGCGUUAAGUUGCAGGGUAUAGACCCGAAACCCGGUGAUCUAGCCAUGGGCAGGUUGAAGGUUGGGUAACACUAACUGGAGGACCGAACCGACUAAUGUUGAAAAAUUAGCGGAUGACUUGUGGCUGGGGGUGAAAGGCCAAUCAAACCGGGAGAUAGCUGGUUCUCCCCGAAAGCUAUUUAGGUAGCGCCUCGUGAACUCAUCUUCGGGGGUAGAGCACUGUUUCGGCUAGGGGGUCAUCCCGACUUACCAACCCGAUGCAAACUACGAAUACCGAAGAAUGUUAUCACGGGAGACACACGGCGGGUGCUAACGUCCGUCGUGAAGAGGGAAACAACCCAGACCGCCAGCUAAGGUCCCAAAGUCAUGGUUAAGUGGGAAACGAUGUGGGAAGGCACAGACAGCCAGGAUGUUGGCUUAGAAGCAGCCAUCAUUUAAAGAAAGCGUAAUAGCUCACUGGUCGAGUCGGCCUGCGCGGAAGAUGUAACGGGGCUAAACCAUGCACCGAAGCUGCGGCAGCGACACUAUGUGUUGUUGGGUAGGGGAGCGUUCUGUAAGCCUGCGAAGGUGACCUGUGAGGGUUGCUGGAGGUAUCAGAAGUGCGAAUGCUGACAUAAGUAACGAUAAAGCGGGUGAAAAGCCCGCUCGCCGGAAGACCAAGGGUUCCUGUCCAACGUUAAUCGGGGCAGGGUGAGUCGACCCCUAAGGCGAGGCCGAAAGGCGUAGUCGAUGGGAAACAGGUUAAUAUUCCUGUACUUGGUGUUACUGCGAAGGGGGGACGGAGAAGGCUAUGUUAGCCGGGCGACGGUUGUCCCGGUUUAAGCAUGUAGGCUG
rnacentral:rRNA from 1 species